AGUAUAGUAAAUGAAUGCAUGCCCUCAUGACUGCUCACAAUAGAGAAUUGUCUAUGAUUCAUGGGUGAUCAAGGACUAAGAUAUUGAUUGAAUAUGGUUGGCUGAUAUGGUACUGUAUGUGUGGUUGUUACAAUCUGCCACUGGAUCUAAGGUCAUUUUUGUGAAUACCAUGCAGUUUAUGGAGUUGUUUAUUGUAAAUCUUUGAGCUGUCAUUGCACCAGCUCAAGUUCAGUGGUCAUUGGCAGGUAUAGAGUAACCUCCUGGGAGCUAGAGAGGGAGGAUAUGUUAACUAUUACAUGUAUGAUGUACAUAGAAUAGUCUUUAAUUGUAGGUAUACUCAGAGAGUUAUGUUAUUGCUGAUGUUGAACAUCAUUCUAUAGGACUGAUCAUACAUAUGAGAGAAAAAAGAACUUAAAUAGUUACACUUGUGCUAGUAUUAUGAUAGCUAUGGAGAUAUUUUGUUUGAAUUAAAAACUUUUUUAGUGUUGACAUAAUGUAAA